rnacentral:rRNA from 1 species
UAAUACGGAGGAUCCAAGCGUUAUCCGGAAUCAUUGGGUUUAAAGGGUCCGUAGGUGGAUAAUUAAGUCAGAGGUGAAAUCCUGCAGCUCAACUGUAGAAUUGCCUUUGAUACUGGUUAUCUUGAAUUAUUGUGAAGUAGUUAGAAUAUGUAGUGUAGCGGUGAAAUGCAUAGAUAUUACAUAGAAUACCAAUUGCGAAGGCAGAUUACUAACAAUCAAUUGACACUGAUGGACGAAAGCGUGGGGAGCGAACAGGAUUAGAUACCCUGGUAGUCCACGCCGUAAACGAUGGUCACUAGCUGUUCGAACUUCGGUUUGAGUGGCUAAGAGAAAUUGAUAAGUGACCCACCUGGGGAGUACGUUCGCAAGAAUG